UACGUAGGGUGCAAGCCGUUGUCCGGAAUUAUUGGGCGUAAAGAGCUCGUAGGCGGCUUGUCGCGUCGGCUGUGAAAACCUCGGGGCUCAACCCCGGGCCUGCAGCCGAUACGGGCAAGGCUAGAAUUCGGUAGGGGAGACUGGGAAUUCCUGGUGUAGCGGUGAAAUGCGACAGAUAUCAGGAAGAACACCCGUGGCUAAGGCGGCUCUCGUAGUACGGUACUGACGCUGAAGACGCGAAAGCGUGGGGAGCGAACAGG
rnacentral:rRNA from 1 species